CCCGCCUUCAUGCCUUAAGUUUCCUGAAAGAGAAGAUUAUCCAAAGAAAACUGCAGUUCAGCAAGUGGAGACUGGCCUGCAGAUUCCCUGGCCUCCUUGCUUAGGGUACCGAGAUAGAAACUGGGUGAGCCUGGAUCUAACAUGGGUGCCACACACCAAGCCAUUGAAAUUCUCCCUUCAGGUAUCUGUUACUUCCAGAACGAAGAAGAGUUAUUGCCCAACCCCAAGAAACCACAGCAGAAAAGAUUCCUUUUCCACCUGAUGAGAAAAACCUACAACAGCCAAUCAAGUUGAAGCCCCAAAGGAACACUGGAGGGACCCUCUCCUGAGAAUCAGCAUCUCAACCAUCACCUCCUCCCCACCGUUUUUACUCCAAAAGACUGAUCUCAUGAGAGAAAUCGCAGUCAUCGGCCUCCUCCCA
rnacentral:lncRNA from 1 species